rnacentral:lncRNA from 1 species
UAAAUUAUCAACCUUCUUACACCAUGCGUUUUCUGGCGGGAAGACACUGCUCAGGGAAUCACGUUAUCUUCCGAUUCAUAUAAUGAAAUCUAGUUCAAGUCCUAGACAUAUCUAAUUAAAACGGGCCUUCCCGAACUUAUUAUCGUAUAGAUCUACUUAGUAAAUAGUAAAACUGUUCAUGUUUCCUUAAAACUAAGGAUUAAUUCCGGCCAAAUAUUUCACUCGGAAUUCUGUUUCCCCACUUUUGUUUACGAUCUGCCGGAAAACUGCAAAAAAAAAUUAAUUGACCCCUAAAAUAUACCUUAAUUUUAAGCAAAAUGCACUAAUUUUCACAAAAAAAAACAAAAAACACGCCAAAAUCUUUUACUCCCCCCCCCAAAAAAAAAUAAAUAAAAAAAAGCCGGGAGAACAGGCAGAGAAAGAAUUCUGUGGGAUUUAAGAUUAAAAAAAAAUUUUCCCCAGUGCGCCCCAACGGUAAAAAUAUAAAUUGUGAUUUUUAAUUAAUUCUAUUUAAUAUUCAUGUUAAAUUCCUGGUCUAGUUAUUAAAGUGCUAAUCAAUAGGACAUGACUUUUAAAAUUUAUUUUUAGUCUAUUUAAAUCGAUUAUUGCAAAUAUUUACCUGGUUGUCAAGAGUAUGUUUAUUGAUUGAUUGAUUGAUUGAUUGUUGGUUGCUUCACGUCCAGUGGCAAAUAUUUCAUGCAUAUUUAGGACUAGAACAAGUUCACAAUAAAUACAAUAUACGCCAUCUGGGAUGAUGGUCGGAGAAAUUUGGGCUGCCACCGGAAAAGGAGGGUAUAUUGGAUAGGGACAGACAUUUUGCCUAGCAACAGGCCACCUACGGACCCCUCAAAAGAGUUGUUGCAAGGGUUCUUAACGUGCAAAGCGCGUGGCACUCUCUUUACACGAGGCAUCGGAUUUAACGUCCCCUUCAAGAGUAUGUUUACAUGUGAUUGACAACGUCG